rnacentral:rRNA from 1 species
UACGGAGGAUGCGAGCGUUAUCCGGAUUUAUUGGGUUUAAAGGGUGCGUGGGCGGCCGAGUAAGUCAGCGGUGAAAUUUUGCAGCUUAACUGUAACAGUGCCGUUGAUACUGCCAGGCUAGGAUUUGGUUGCUGUGGGUGGAAUGUGUGGUGUAGCGGUGAAAUGCUUAGAUAUCACACAGAAUAUCGAUUGCGAAGGCAGCUCACAAAGCCAAGAUUGACGCUGAGGCACGAAAGUGUGGGGAUCAAACA